AUGAAUGUGGAGGUCAAAGGAUAACUUGGGGGAGUUGGUUCUCUCAUUUCUGCUUGGAUUCUAUGAAUGAAAGCAUAGACCCAUAGGCUUUCUGGUAAAUGCCUUUACCUGCCAAGGCACCUUCCUGGUACCUCUGCAUUUUCAAAACAAAACAGACCUGGACUCAACUUUGAUAUUUGGUGAGAAAUGACAGCUACAGCUGAGUAACCAAGAGCCUGAAACUCUAGAAGCAGCUGGAUUCUUCUCUCCUCUCCUCUCCCUUGUGUGAGGGCUAGUGACCAAAAGUCAAGAAAUUCCCAGAGCCUCAUUGUGUAUAUGAGCACUGCAUAGGUAAGGUGAGGCGCUGCACUACAUCCUCAGCCCUUGAAACCUCACUUUUCUCCCCGAUGAACUGGGAGAGGCUCUUUCAAAAGAGAUGUAAGGCUAAGGAGAAGGUGCAGUUAAAAGCAUUUGCUCUCAAGCUGGGACUUGAGUUUAUUCCCUUGGGUCCCACAUGGGUAGAAGGAUCGAACUGAUUCUCACAAGUUGUCCCCUGAUCCUUACACACGCCCACUCUCCAUCCCCACCCUACCCCAAUAUGAAAACAAAACUUUUUAAGCAGACAUAAUGAAAGAAUGAAAUGGUGGGUACGAAGCACUCAACCACAGACACUUUGACUCCAUUCGGAAAUGUUCAGGCAGCUGCUAUUGUAUUUUAGGCAUCAAUUCUUACAAGGGGAGGGCAAGAAUCUAUGAGAAGGUCUUCCGCCAUGACAAAUAGAUACGAAGUAUAUCAAGACAGUACUAGAAUUCCAUGACAAAUGGAUACAAUAUAUGUCAAAACACUUCUAGAAUUCCAUGACAAGUGGAGACAAUGUAUGUCAGGACAGUUCUAGAACUCAGAACAUCUGGCUUUAAACCAACAGGGAGCAUUUUAUACUCUUUCUGUGGGCCAGCAAGUAGCUUAUGUGGUGAAGGCGCUUGGAGCCAGCCAGAGUUCAAUCCAUUGCAUUCAUCUGACUUCCAUUUUAGAAUUCAUACUCAGGCACCCACAAAGUCACUGCUGAUGAGGGUGUGUGUUCAGAAAUCACAGGAAGAUUUCAGGGGAGGACAAUGUUGUGAAACCACUGCCAAUGGCUGCCAUGUGCCUGGGUCCCUCCACUCUGAAUGGAACCACUAACUCCACAACAAAGUUUGCCAUCUCCCUCUGCUACCCCAGCCACUGUAGGGCCCAGUUUCUCACACCAGAGCAAUCUGCUGUGCAAUACAGCUACACUAGCCAAGCACAGAUAUUUAAGUCUGAGGGGGGGAAAAAACUCAGUAAAAUUUAAAAUUGAGUUUCUGGAUUCUUCAAUAAAAACCAGUUCUUGGGCCCCA